GUGCACCAGGCGCGAAACCUCCGCAAUGCGGGAAACCGCGACGGGGGACCCCGAGUGCCGUGGCAACGCCACGGCUUUUCCGGAGUGUAAAAGCUCCGGGAAUAAGGGCUGGGCAAGGCCGGUGGCAGCCGCCGCGGUAAUACCGGCGGCCCGAGUGGUGGCCGCUAUUAUUGGGCCUAAAGCGUCCGUAGCCGGGCCCGUAAGUCCCUGGCGAAAUCCCACGGCUCAACCGUGGGGCUUGCUGGGGAUACUGCGGGUCUUGGGACCGGGAGAGGCGGGGGGUACCCCUGGGGUAGGGGUGAAAUCCUAUAAUCCCAGGGGGACCGCCAGUGGCGAAGGCGCCCCGCUGGAACGGGUCCGACGGUGAGGGACGAAGGCCA
rnacentral:rRNA from 1 species